GUCGACGUGGCCGAAUGGAGAAGGUACCGGUCUACGAAACCGGAGAGUGCGGGUUCGACCCCUGCCGUCGGCG
rnacentral:tRNA from 1 species